GCACAAGCGGUGGAGCAUGUGGUUUAAUUCGACGCAACGCGCAGAACCUUACCAGCCCUUGACAUGUCCAGGACCGGUCGCAGAGAUGUGACCCUCUCUUCGGAGCCUGGAACACAGGUGCUGCAUGGCUGUCGUCAGCUCGUGUCGUGAGAUGUUGGGUUAAGUCCCGCAACGAGCGCAACCCCCGUCCUUAGUUGCUACCAUUUAGUUGAGCACUCUAAGGAGACUGCCGGUGAUAAGCCGCGAGGAAGGUGGGGAUGACGUCAAGUCCUCAUGGCCCUUACGGGCUGGGCUACACACGUGCUACAAUGGCGGUGACAGUGGGAUGCUAAGGGGCGACCCUUCGCAAAUCUCAAAAAGCCGUCUCAGUUCGGAUUGGGCUCUGCAACUCGAGCCCAUGAAGUUGGAAUCGCUAGUAAUCGUGGAUCAGCACGCCACGGUGAAUACGUUCCCGGGC
rnacentral:rRNA from 1 species